AUUGAACGCUGGCGGAAUGCUUUACACAUGCAAGUCGAGCGGCAGCGCGGGGGCAACCCUGGCGGCGAGCGGCGAACGGGUGAGUAAUACAUCGGAACGUGUCCUUGAGUGGGGAUAGCUCGGCGAAAGCCGGAUUAAUACCGCAUAAGCUCUGAGGAGGAAAGCGGGGGACCUGGUAACGGGCCUCGCGCUGUUGGAGCGGCCGAUGUCGG
rnacentral:rRNA from 1 species